GCGGGGCUGGUGUAGUGGUUAUCACGUGUCGUUCACAAAGAUGAGCAUUUCCCGACAAGGUCGCGAGUUCGAUCCUCGCGCCCCGUA
rnacentral:tRNA from 1 species